rnacentral:rRNA from 1 species
GUAGGUGGCAAGCGUUGUCCGGAAUUAUUGGGCGUAAAGCGCGCGCAGGCGGUCCUUUAAGUCUGAUGUGAAAGCCCACGGCUCAACCGUGGAGGGUCAUUGGAAACUGGGGGACUUGAGUACAGGAGAGGAAAGCGGAAUUCCAAGUGUAGCGGUGAAAUGCGUAGAGAUUUGGAGGAACACCAGUGGCGAAGGCGGCUUUCUGGUCUGUAACUGACGCUGAGGCGCGAAAGCGUGGGGAGCAAACAGGGAUUAGAUACCCUGGUAGUCCACGCCGUAAACGAUGAGUGCUAAGUGUUAGGGGGUUUCCCGCCCCUUAGUGCUGCAGCUAACGCAUUAAGCACUCCGCCUGGGGAUACGGCCGCAAGGCUG